CCUAAUUAAUACACUAGUUACAUCCUAGGUUCAACAUAUUUUACUCAAUAUUAGUAAUGUCAACUCCUAAGUACUUACUACUAGGGUCAACUCACUUUCGGUAUCUUUCGUCUAGUUUAUUAUUCACUUACUUCCUAGACACAUGUUGUUAUUAGUAUAAGGAUAUAAAUAUCAAUAUAUAAGCAUCCAGAUAAUAAUAACAAUAUUAAGCCCUAUCACAACCUAAGAUUCAAAUCUAAGAUUCAUAAGCUAACGUUGCCCAAGACCGUAGAUUUGAAUACUGAAAGGUCACAAGAAAAUAAAAAUAUAGACUUGAAGUUUAAAAUUACAUAUGCAAAUGGAUAAAAAAUCAAAAUAACGUGAAAAAAGAUAAAUGACUAAAUCGUCAUAUGAAAUUAAGUUACAUGAUCCUAAGAGUAAUUUAGCCUAAUUUUUAUGUUUGAAACAAAAUGUGUAUAAUUUUUUUAAGUAUGGUGUUACGUUUAUUAAUCAACGGUUCAUUUGUUCCUUCGCUGUGAUAUUUUCGGGUCCUUGUGGCAGCUAGUCAAGUCAUGGAUUGGCCUUACAGGAGUCGACCCCAAUAAUAUUAGUGAUCACUUUUUUCAAUUUAUUCAUUAUACAGGCCACUCGAAGAAGCGUCGAUCCUUUCUACAACUUUUAUGACUUUUGUGUGUUUGACAGGUUUGGAAUGAGCAUAAUAACAGGAUUUUUAACAACAUCCAAACCCCCAUUAUGCAGCUUUUAGAUAGAGUUAAAUACCACUCGUUGUGGUGGUUGAAGGUUAAUAAUGCCACUUUCAUGUACGGUUUUUAUAGAUGGUGGUCGGACCCUAUGAUUUGUUUGGGUAUCGACUAACCGUGUUUUUGUAAUUAUUACACUUGACUGAUUGUUUCUUGGGAUGACUUCCUUGGUACAUCUUGUACUAGAAAUGGUGUUACGUUGUCAGAACCACUUGAUAGUAAUGAAUGAAACUCAAAGUGAUUUUUUUUUAAAAUGAUAUCGGAGAUGCUCUCUUAACUCUUCUACGUUUUCCUUGACUCUGAUUUUUAAGAAUAGAGUCGUAGUAACAUGAAGUUUAGUUUGAAGGUAAAUAAAGUUUGGAUAAAAAAUAUUUCAAUCAUUUGGUUUUAUAACUCUCCUAUUUGAAGCUUGGUAUAUCAUAUAUAAGAAUUCGAUAUCAUAUCAAACUAUUGCAUUUCGAAAAAUAAAUGGUUGUUGGCUCAAUCCAUCAUAGUGUAUAAGUCUUAUUAUACUCUUAUAUCUUAAUUAACUCUUGGAUACUUUUUUGAGGGGUAACUCUUGGAUAUUUGUUCAGCCAUACACAAGAACGAUACUACAAUUAGCGCAUUGCACUUGUAAAAAUAAAUAACAAUAAAAAUAAAACGCAUCACAACUUUUCGUUAAAGGCUUAUAAUAUUUUGCCCCCUCAAUAGAUAUAAUAUGCAUUACGUCUCCAUAAAAUACAAACCAAUAAUAUUAAAUUCGUAAAGCCAAAAAAGAUAUUAAAUUUAGAUAUAGACAUGAGAUUUAACAUAUAUAUUUUUUUUGAGGGGAAAUUUAAAAUAUAUAUGAAAUUACAGAAAAAAAAUAUAUGCAUAUUACAAAAAUACUAAUAUUUUUGUACCAAAAAAAAGAUACUAAUAUCUAACACUGAUUCAAGUCUAGUUAGUGCCAAGAUCACAUAUAUUCUCAUCUUGUUUACACCUUUGGUAAACCAAAACUACAAUACAAAGUAGUAGAAAAAUUUAUUUUCUCUCUUCUCUCAAAUUUAUUUCAUAAUUGUAUCUUGAGAAAAGAAGAAAAAAAGAUGUUAAAUGGUAAAGAAAAAAUUGCAAUUCUUGCACUUUCACUUUUCUUUAGUGUAGUUAUGAUUUGUUUUUGUUUCAUUUUAGUAGUCCAUUUCGUAAAGCAAAUUUCAGAAAAGACGAGCAGAUCAACUCAAAAAAAUCAAGAAGUGUUGUGGGCAGGAUUUGGCAUUUCUCUAUUUGUAAUAUUUGCUUUUGCUUUUGUUGUAUUUGCUGUAUUUUCUGGUUGUGGUAUUCUUUAUAUAAUCCAAAGUAGCACCAAGAUUGCACCUGCACCUUUGGAUGGAGAUUAGGAGACACCACACUCAUAUGGUUUAAGAUUCAAAUAGUAAUCACUAAAGUAUAAUAGAAGAGUCAGAAAAAAAUGUACAAGGUGAGCAAAACCAUCCAAGUUUUUACAAUGUUAUUGUUUUAUUGCAACGAUCCAAGUUUGUAAAAUGAUUUUUUAUUUCGCUUUUACUUUUUUGUUUUGUACUAAGUUAUUGGAUUAAUCUAACAAUUGAGACUAUAAUAAUAUUUUUCUGAAACAAAUUUGAAGAUCAAAAUUUAUUAUAUAAUGAAAGAAGCACAAAAAGUACAUAAUGUUUUUUUUUUUUUUAUUAAAAAAAGUACAUAAUGUUGAAGUGUUUCUUAUAAAACUUAUUUUGAGAGUUUCCUUAUAACUCUUUAUGUAUUUUGAGAGUGUUGAACAGUGGUUGUAAAUUUAUUAAGAGUUUCCUUAUGACUUUUAUGUUUUAUGGUGAUGAAUGUAUAUGAUGGGUAUGAAGACAAUUUAUCAAGUGUUUAUUAUUGUAUAUUUAUAAUUUCCAACAAAUUUCAUAUGGUUUAAUAUAGUAAAUGCAUUUGCAAUAUUAAUAUAAUUAAUUAAUGAAAUCUGGUAGGAAAUUAAACAUUAAAUCAAUUAUGCAAAUUUACGUAUGAAUUUCCUCACUAAUUAGUGACGGAAAGAAAUUUGUCAUUAAACCAUAGAUUGUAGUUUGUGAGGAAAACCAAUCCGUCAUUAAUUAGUGAUGGAAAUAUUGGUAAAAAAGAUGGAAUGGUCUCUCGGUAUUAGAGAGGGAACAAAAAUCCCUUUCUACAUAGGGAACAAAAAUCACUCUCUACAUAUGCACCAUGACAUGCUAAUUUAUGUUUAGUUUCUUGACAUAGGUGUUGGAAUAUAUAUAAUACCCCUUUACAAUCAACAUUUUAGGUACUAAAGAAUUUUUUUUAAGGUUUGAUGAUGUUUGAAAUGUUGAAGCGUGCACGGAAAGAUAUGGGUUUUUCUUUAAAUUGUAAAUCUAAUUUAAAAUAUUUUUGAAGAUUAUCAUUUUUCAUGAAAUUAUUAGAAAAUGUGAUGCGGAUUUCUUUGGUAUGCAAAUAAUCAAAUUUAAAGAAUAAUUUUUUGUUAGUUUAUUUUAUUAGUUCUUUUUUAAGAUAUAUGGAAGUAAAAUACUCUCUUCGAUCUCUUAUGUAAGGAUCCUCUCCGUCUUAAAAUAGGUGUUCUCUUUCUUAUUUUUCUUUGUCUCAAAUUAUGUCUCUUUUAUAAUAUUAAUACAACAUUUAUUAUUCUUUUCUAAUAACAUACCCCUGUUUAUUGCAUUUUAAUUAUCUAACUACUCCACUAACUAUAAUUAACAAACGAUUUUAGUAAAUAGAACACGUUUUACCAAUUAAAUCAACACUACUAUCGUUUUCUUGAUAACCAUAUAAAACUUAAAAGGUACAAUUAAUUUUAGACGGAGGGACUAACAAAAAAAAGCCCUUUAAAACAUUGUAUUAACUACAUUUAAGUUAUGAUAAUCGUUCAUGAGGAUUAUGGGAACCCCAAACCUAGAAAAUAAUAUUCUUUUUCAAAAAGUCCACCAUUGUGUGUGUAUCAUUACAAGGUGAUCCAACACCUUCAACCCAUUUUGUGACAUAAUCUACACACAUGAUAUAUUUGAAUAGAGUGAGAAUUUAGAAACGGAUCAAUGAAGUCAAUUUCUCAAUAGUCAAAUGCUUCGAUUUCUAAGAUUCCAUUAAGUGGCAUUUUGUUCCUUUUUGCUAUUCCCCCGUAUCUCUGGCAUUAAAUCCUUAAACAUGGUGGGCCGAAAGAAACUACUUUGCAAAAAAAUUUACGAUUGUUUUAUGGAGAAUGCUAACCAUUGCCCUUGAGAUAUUGGAUAAGAGGAUAAAAAUAGAAAUAUAACCUUGAAAAAUGGUGAAAAGUGAUAAAUUUAAUUUUUUAAAAGUCAAAAUGUUGUUGAAACCAAUGCAAACAUGCUACUUUUGACUUCUUUAACCAUUGCUCUCAGGACAAUGAUUAGCAAGACCCAUACUAUGAUGUCCCAUGUAUGACGAACUAUGGUGGUGUCAAAGGAUGUCCUUUAUUACUUUCUCCCCUACACACAUGCACGAUACCCAUUAUUUCCAACAUUGAAAAGGUAAUGCUCAUCCCAUAAACCUUUUAUAAUUUUUGUCUUUAAUUUGCUCCCAAGUUAAAUACUCCAGUAACCUUAUACUUGCUUUAAAGUUUGUCAUGUCAGCAAACCAUGGUCUUUGAGAUAUUGCAAACAAUUGUUCGUUUGGAAAUCUCUCUUUUAUGCUUAUUUCGUUUUGAGUGACUUGUUUAUUUCUCAAGCAUGGAAAGGCGAUAAGCUACCACAUUCCUGUCUCCCUUCUUGUCUAGAUUUCUAAAUCGAAUUCCUGCAAUAAAAGAAUGCACCUAAGCCGUCACGGUUUUGCAUCCCCUUUGGUUAGCAAAUAUUCCAGUGUCGCAUGGUCAAUGAAAACAAUCACUUUAGACCCCACUAAGUAAGAAUGAAAUUUUUCCAAUGCAAAUAUCACUACCAGCAACUCUUUUUCUUUAGUUGAAUAGUUUAUUUGAUUUUCAUUUAAGACCUUGCUAGCAUAAUAAACAACAUGAAAAAAAAUUGUUCUUACAUUUUCCAAAAAUUGCUCGUACUUUGUUAUCACUGCCAUUACACAUUAAUUCAAUUGGAAGAUUCCAAUUAGGUGCUACAAUAACAAGUGCAGUGAUCAAUAUUUCUUUCAAAGUAUGAAACGAUUUCAAACAAUUGUCAAAUUUAAGUAUUCUGACUUUAAGUCAGAUAUUCAGAAGAUUAUGGUUGGUCCUGACGACCCGAUUGAUCCAGGAUUACAAAAGGAAUUAAAUUUGGUGAAAGAUUUAUUAGCUAACACUGCCUCAACGGAAGUUCCAUUAUUCACUCCUUAUUUCACGAAGGCACAGAAGAAAAAAGAAGUUAAGGUGGCAUACCUAACUCGUUCUCAGGGUCCACUCCAUCACCUCCCAAAUGAUGGAAUAUUCGGGGAGCCGGCAGGACAUGUUAUUGUUGUUUGGUUUGACACAAUUCCGUCCUUUUUGUCUUUAGAUUUCUUUAGGGAUAUGAAUUUCUUUCCUAACUAUCGCUUUCCCUAGGAUUUCCGUUGUUUCUUUCUGUUUCCUGCAUCUCUUUUUGAGGGUUUUGGCCUAGUCCCCCCUCUUUUAUAUAUAUUUUUCCCUUUUUAUAAUAAUAUAUAUGGAGUAGGCGGUAGAGGAUGGGAGCUCUAGUUGGAUGCCAACCUAGUUGGGAUGUUUCUGGCACUCCUUGAUGCCUAACCUACUUUUUGCCUUAUAAAAAAAAAUCAUUUUCUUUCACCAGCAAAUUCCAUAGAGGUUUAGAAACUUUUGAGAAAUAUUUUAUGAACCUCCAGUAAAAUACGGCAUGUCCUAGAAAACUUCUAAUCCCUUUGAUAUCUAACGAAAGUGAUAAUUUUUCUAUUACUUCUACUUUGGCUUGAUCAACUUCUAUGCCUUUAGUGGAUAUCUUGUGUCAUAGGACUAUCCCUUAUGUUACCAUAAAAAUGAUAUUUUACCCAAUUCAAAACUAAAUUGGAAUUUAUGCAUCUCUUUAAAACAUAAUUAAUAUUAUCAAGGCUUUUAUCAUAAGAACUACAUAAAAAAUGAAAAAAUCAUCCAUAAAAACUUCAAUGAAAAAAUUAAUAUGUCGUAUGACUGUAAUCAUGCAUAACCCGAAUGACAUCCUUCGAUAUGCGAACACUUCAAAAGGGUUUGUAAAAGUUGUCUUUUCUUGAUCAACUAGAUCAAUGACGAUUUGAUUCUAUCCUGAGUAUAUAUCCAUCUAAGCCCUUUUUGGCUAGUCUCUUCAGCAUCUUAUCCAUGAAUGGUAAUGGAAAGUGGUCUUCCUUAUUGCAAAGUUUUACCUUUGGUUAUGCACAUCCUCCAUCCUAUUACUUUACAUGUUGGGAUCAACUCAUUCUUGUCAUUCUUGAUUACAGUCAUACGACAUAACUCAUUUACUUGAUAGCUAGAGUUCCCACUUUCUUUUCUCUUCUAUCAAGGAUCAUUUCUUGACUCUGGAUGACUUCCUGUUGAAGUCUGGAUAUUGCUUCCAUAUUGGUCAGAGGCGCUUUCAUCAACAUGAAAAUUAUAUCUUUCAUGGGUAUUUUGCUUGGAAUUCACCCACUUUCAUAAGGGAAACUGUGUUAUGCCUCAUCCGUAGUGGGAUGUGGUUCUGAAUAGAAAUUUAUGGCUUUUCUUCCCACAAUUGCAAAAACCAAAUACCCAGUGGUUCUGCCUCUCAAAAUAAAUUUUUGUACUUCUCGAGAUCACAACUGAUUUAAAAGGAAAUUCAUAGAAAACAGAAACAAACUUCUAAAACUAAAUCUUUUGGGUUUUUGAAAUAAGAUAAGAAAAUAAAACAAACCUAAUCUAAAUAAAAGUAAAACAAAUUAGAGUUAAAUAAAAGGAACACAAAAACUAACCUAAUCUUAAGAGAUUCAAAACUAAUUCUAAUAUAAGGAGAUAAUCCUAACUAGAAAAUUGGAACUAACCCAAAAAUCUAGAAACUAACAUAAUCCUACUAAGAAAUUCGAUUAACAAAAUGAAACUAACUUGAGAGAAUUAAAAAAGAAACCUAAUAAAAAACAUAAAAUAGAAAUAAAAGAAAUAAAUAUUUACAAAAUAAAUUUAGCGAAUUGCCUUGUUGAAAUAUGAACAAUCCUCGAUAGAAGCGUCAAAAACUUGAUGGACGAAUUGACAAGUGCAUCAAAUCGUAACAAGUAAUAAAGUUUUAUGUUAUCUUUUUCACACAGAUUUUCGUUCAACUUAACAAUUUACAAAGUUUGUUUAAGUAAAAGAGUUUGUGGGUUAAUUUGCAUGUUUUUAAUUGUCUUGCACAAUACAAGAUUAGGUUUGUGUGAUUCAAAUGUUUAAUAGAGAUUAGGGUUUCCUUGAACCCCCUCUACAUUCUUUGUUGGAAUUCACUCGGAUUACUAUCAAUUAUUACCUAGCCUUGAUAAACAAAAGUUAUGAUAUGACCUCGUGUUAUCAGUGGGAAGUUCUAGCAUGUGUACCUAGACAAGGGCUAUACUUUUGACUUUCCCUAAAGAUGGAUCAUAAUCCUAAUAAUCAUACUUAUAUUUAAUUAAUGAAUUUAUUUAAAACCAUAAAUUUACUAUUGUUCUUGUUUGGAUAGUCAGUCUUAUAUCUCAACAUAUGGAUCAUGUCAACCGAUAGUUGAAAAGAAUUAGAAGUGAACAGAGCAUAUAAAAUUAAAAUCAAGAAAAUUGAACCAUAAACUAAAUAGAAACUUUAUUAAUUAAAUCCAACAAAUAAGUACAUGUUCAUCGUGGAACCCUAAUAAAGAGAGGUUUAGUUACACAUGGCAACAAACAUCAUUACAAAAUAAGAGAAAACAUACCAUAGAGAAGAAAAUGAGGAGGAUAAAACCCUCUACCUUAAGCUAUAAUACUUGACCAUUUCCUUGUACCGCUAGCUCUUUAAAUGAAUAAAAGUGUGUGCAAAUGUCUCUAUUUAUAUACAUCAUUACUUCUAGGUUAAGAGAGGGAAAUUGGGCUUUUUCCUCGGAUCCAGCUUGGAAAACAAACUCAAGGGUGCGAAUUCUGCAAUUUUUCGUCCUUUUUCGGGUUCUUUCAUCUUGAAAUGCGUUGGAACUUGGGAUAAAUUUUUCCAACUUGCAUUGUCUUAAAAAAAAAAACCUUUUAUCUUCGUUAUUCACAUCAUUUGAUGUCUUGCUUUGCUGAUUUAUAUGAUUUCUCACUAAAAUGACUCAAAACACCUAUCAAGUUGCAUGAUUAGGGAUGAAACUGAAUUCAAAUGAAAACAAUAAAAAUAUUCCUCAAAUCAUGUACAACUCCUCUAUAUAACCUUUGAUUUAUCUUAAAAAAAAAAACUAAAAACAUAGUUCCCUCAUCGGUCACUCAUGAGUUAGUACAUAUAGCUCCAUUAGAAGAUAUAUGUAAUUAUAAAAUUUGUUUUAAAAAAAUAUAUGUAAUUUUAUUUACUUAAAAUAUCAAUUAUCAAACAAUAGAGAGGGACUUGAUGCAUUUACUCAAAACGAAGUGACUAACCUAAACUCAAACUCAAGUCUUCGGCUCUUUUGUGAGACAGAUAGGGAGCGUCGUCAACUUUCAUCUGCACCCACACCGCUCGCUCUGAUGAAUACGCAGCUGCCGAACUUGCGGCGUCUCCGCUCUCAAUCCAAUCUGCCGCCGUCAGAAACACUCCCCGACGAGGUUAUGGCCGAAAUCUUAUCAAGGCUUCCAGUAAGAUCUUUGAUGCAGAUCAAGUGUGUGUGUAAGUCUUGGAACACUAUUAUUUCUGAUCCUAAAUUCAUCAAAAUGCACCUCAAUAGAUCUGCACGAAACCCGAACUUCUCAGUAGUCUCUUACGAGACACCCUCAUUUGAUGAUGAUGAUCACCGUUUCGUACCUUUUCCUGCUGGUAGUUUAUUAGAUAACCCUCAUAUCACCUUUCCUAAGGAUCCUUAUUAUCUAUUGCAUGACAAGGAUUGUCGUGAAGUUAUUGGUUCAUGCAAUGGAUUGGUCUGCUUGUUAGGUAAUUCUUCAAUCACCCUCAAUAAUUAUUCUAUCUGGCUCCGUUUACUAGAAAAAUAUCUGAUAGAUUAGGUUGUUUCGAUGAUUUCAAUUAUGAAUGGAAUUCUUGGAGGUUUGUGUUUUGUUAUGAUAAUUCAACCAACACUUAUAAGGUUGUAGCCUUGCAUUAUAAUAGCAAUUUUAGCAAUCCUAAGGUUGAGGUGAGCAUUUUUACUUUGGGUGAUAAUGUUUGGAAAACUAUUCAAACUUUAGCUGUUUUGCCUCUUCAGAUAGACUUUGCUUAUUGGAGAGUUUACGAGGGUGUACAAUUUAAUUGCACUGUUAACUGGUUGGCACGCAAUCGGAUUCCUACCAAUACUGCUAGUAUUAUUAAUGAAUUUGUGAUUGUUUCACUACAUCUAGGGACCGAGACAUACACAAAGUUGAUGCUCCCUCCUGGUGCUGAGGAGUCGACACAUUCAUCAAAUGUUUGUGUGUUGAUGAACUCCUUAUGCUUUUCUCAUGAUUUCAACAAAACAGAUUUUGUUAUAUGGAAGAUGACAGAAUUUGGAGAUGACAGGUCUUGGACUAAAUUCUUUACAUUUAGCUAUCACAACCUUCAAGUGAAUUUAAAUUCAAGAUUUGUUUACUCGUGGUUGAAAUUAAAGGCAUUGCAUCUUUCUGAAGAUGGUGAUACAAUCGUAUUCGCAAGCUGCCUGCAUAACCAAGCAAUUCUCUAUAACUUGAGAACUAAUAGAGUACUGGAAUCUAGAGUUAACAAAAAGAUAUGUUGGUACUCUAUCAAGGAUUAUGUCGAAAGUCUGGUUUCAACCUGCUGAAAGUAAGUUUUUCUCCAACAUAAUAUUUAUUUCAAUUUAUGUACUUAGUUUUGCCUUCGUUUAUGUGUGAGUAUUUGCUUUACUUUAGAACUUUGUCAUAGAUAUGGUGAAUCAACCGACUGAUCCGAAUACGUGUUCAGAACUCAGUUCUCUAUAUAUACUCUAUGAAGCACGAACACUCAUCGGAUUAGGCGUGUCCGACACCAACACGACACGACACCGACACAUAUAAUUACACUAAAUUAUGUUAUUUUCUCAAAUUAUUAGCAGUAUCGACGUGUUAAUGUCUGUGUCGUGUUCGGUGUCCGUAUCCGUGCUUCAUAGUAUAUACUGUAACCAUAUAAUGAUUUUGCAAUUCAACAGAUAGUGAAUAUACUUCUUGUUCUUAUCACACCAAUUCAAGUAUCACCUUCCUGCUGUUUAGAUUUGUAUUAUUUCAUAAUUCAUGAUAGUCUAAUUUCUUUAUUUUUUACCAAGGGAUAUGACUUCACUCUUGAGAGGUUGGGCUAUGAUUGUGUUGGAAUGUGUAGAUGUUCCAUUUUCGUCUCUAACAAAUUGGGACCAUCAAAUAUAUCUAACUGUAUUAUUUUUGGGUUCCACCAGUGAGGGACUUAAUUGAACCCUCACCCUAGAAGUCACCUUACAACUUGUUUCUAAAUGUUUUCUGCGCUAUUUUCGUUACUGUUCACGAGCACAGUUACAUAUCUAUCCUAUCUUCCUCUUGUUUGGCCUUUUUGAAUUCUGCAAUUGAAUUCCUUUUGAGUUUUUUAAACUGACAUUGCUUGCCAUGCAAUUAUUCCAAACCAAACUCCCAGUUGUUAGAUACGUAGAAUCUCAUUUUUUUUUAAUGACAAGUUAUGACUUUAAGAGUGUCGUGUCUUUUUUCAUCGGUUAAUGCUACACUAAUACUAACCACCUAAGAGCUACAAUAGAUCUUUUCAUAUCACAAUUGAACAUUUAUGUUUUUAUAUUGAAUUAUACACUAUUCCAUUUUUGGUAUAUCUUUGUAAUGACACAUGGUUUUUUUCGUAGGUUUGCAUGUUGCAAUUAUAUUCUCCUUAUCUUUCUUAAGGAUUUGUUUCUCUAUCUAGAUGAAAUUAUUGAAAGAACCAUAGAUUUUAAUUGUUUAUUGUAUCAUAGUUGUGCAUCUGGUAUGAUAUGAUUUUAUCUUAUGAGUUAGAAUCUGUUUGUUUAGGAUGUAUUGACACUUCUCUAGAAAAGGUUUGCUUUAGUAGCGACAAUAGCAAUGCAACACAACAAUAUUCUAUAAAUCUGAUCACAAAGUCUGAUGCAUCCAGUUCUGAUUUAAGGUCAUGUAACUAAUGAAUCUGAAAUGAAUGAAAUGAACUUUGGAAACUUGAGAAUGAGGAAAACUCUAUUAGGAAAUUACCACUGCAGUACAUAUCUGAUAGUUCCAAGCACUACAGUUUGCAACUUGUUGGCAUAUUAUAAGAUGCUAUAAACUUGAGAAUGAUGAAACACUUCACAUCAUUUACUUUGUGUUUAUGUUCUAGUUUUUUCGUUUUUCAUCGAUAUAUUGUUUAAAUGGGUUCAUUUUGAAUUGUAGAUCUACAACCUGAACUUGAGAAUGAUGGAGCAUGGCUGCGGAAUGCUAUGAAGAAAAAUAUUGGAGCUUAUUGGAACUACAACUUGUUUGGUUAUUGUACUCAUUUUAUAGUCUAUUUUCACCCGAGCUAAAACUCCACACUUUGAGUUAUUUUAUUGAUGUCUCUGGAUGUUAAACUUAUUUUAUGGUAUGUGUUCACAUGGGAAGGUAUAAAGCUUUCUCACCAUGAAAAAGUUAGUUUUUUACCUCUAUGUAUAGGUCAAACAAGUUGCUUUUAUUUUGUUUGUUUUUUCAAAGAUUAAAAAAGCUAAUAUUUAAUAGUAUUAACUAGUUUACUAAUACACCCCUUGUUUUUAUGAAAUUAUAUAUGCACCUCACCUAUUUAAAAAUAAAUAAUUUUUCACGUUGUUAUCUAACUUUUUUUUUAAAUUUGACAAACUUUUUUUUAUGGUAAGGGAUUAAUUUACUGGUUUUGAUCACAUUUGCAAUGUUUUAGGGACGUUUGCAAUUAAUGUUUGCAAAUAAAUGAAUUUAUAUUUUUCUUUUUCAUAAGAGUGAGUAUGAAAUUAUUGAUAUGAUGUAACUCAUUUUUUUUCUUGCAAUGGCAAUGAACAUUUAUAUUAAAUAUGUUUUGAUCCAUUUAAAUAUUUUAAAAUUUUCAUUUUAAGUUCCCUAAAAUAUUUCAUCAAUUUUUAAUCUUCGUAAAUUUUUUCAUCCGCUCUUUUGGUCUCUCCUUUUAAAUCAUAUCAUAUACUUGAUAAUAACGACAAAAAAUAAUGUGGACAUAAAUUAUUUAUAAUGAAUAUUGAAUACAAUAAACAGUUAAUACAACAAAUUGAAUAGAUUUAUUCCCUAUAAAUUUAGAUAUGACUUGCUACUUAGCAAAUUAAUUAAAACUUUUUUUUAGAGAGAUGCAAAUUGAUCAGUAAAUUGAAUUAAUUAUUUUUUAUACAAAUUUAAUUAGAAAACAUAAUUUGUUUGAAAGGAAUUAAAGAACAUAGCAUCUCAUACACAAUGGGAAUCGGCCCACUAAGUAAAAAAAG
rnacentral:lncRNA from 1 species